GCUGGGAAUGCUGUGAACUUGUUGAAAAUAAUGGUAUUCGGUUUGAUUUGUCACAAUUGAUGAAAUUGAUCAAUGUUUUCUUUGGUUUUUGAUGCAAAACAACGUAAAUACACAGGCCCUCGGAGCCCAACCCAAUCCCAAGUGCCAAGUGUGCUAGAAUUGAAAAGGGUUCGUUUCCUUUGAGUUUCGGGUGGGAGAGACUGGGUCUGGGACAGAGCUGAGAAAGACAAAACAACAGGAGUUGCAGAGAGAAGAAGGAAGAAGGAAGAUGAGUGAAACAAGGCCAGUCCCUAGGAGAGAGAGUCCAUGGGGAUUGCCAGAAGGAGAGCAUCGACAACCCAAGGCUCAUCGUUGCAACGAUCGAGCUGAAGAUGUUAUCCAAGCUUGUUUUGAGGGAAACCCAUUUAAGACAGUUCCAGGACCUUUCAAGCUCUUUUGGCAAUGCAUGCGCUCUAAACCUGGGGAGGAGCCAACAGAACCGUACACCUAUUUGCAGCUGGAUCCACCGAAGAGAGGUGAAGCCUGAGUGAAGUGUCAUUUAAUGCAUUUUCUCUUGGAUUUGGAUCCCUGUCUCCAUAACAAAUGAAUAAUUCUGAAUGCUACUGAUAUAAGGGUUCUUUAUUCUUUAUUGAAUGGUAUUCAUUUUACUACUGAAAAGCUGUACUACUGUUUGCUUAUCAUGAUUUUCUGCUUGGACUUAUGGUGGGGAGACACCUGCUAUUUCCUAGGCCCAAAGUGAGUUGGUUAUGCAUGUAUUAUUGAAUCAAUCAUCACGGGAGGCUCCCUAUUUGAUGUUUGGAGAUAUUGGCAAUAUUAACUCCUGCUUUCUGAUGAUCCAUUACUUAUACCUGUUCGUAGACCAUAUUCAAUUAAAGACUAUUGAAAUAUACUUUUUCUUUUUUCUA